GAUGAACGCUGGCGGCGUGCCUAAUACAUGCAAGUCGAGCGAAAGGACGAGAAGAUUGCGUCUUUGAUGUUAGCGGCGGACGGGUGGGUAACAAGUGGAUAACCUACUUAUUUGACUGGGGUAACAUCGGGAAGAAGUAGAUAAUAAUAGAUAAUAUGAUGAACGGGAUGGAUCAAGGGUGAUUGAGGGUCUUGCUGACACAUAUAGACGGUUCGGUGCUGGAUUAGCUAGUUGGUAAGGUAACGGCCUACCAAGGCGACGAUGCGUAGCUGAUCUGAGAGGAUGAUCAGCCACACUGGAACUGAGACACGGUCCAGACUCCUACGGGAGGCAGCAGUGGGGAAUCUUGGACAAUGGGCGAAAGCCUGACCCAGCCAUACCGCGUGAGUGAAGAAGGUCUUCGGGUUGUAAAGCUCUUUUGUUGGGAAAGAAAAGAAGUAGGUUAAUCCGCCGAUGUUUUGACGGUACCCAAAGAAUAAGCACCGGCUAACUUCGUG
rnacentral:rRNA from 1 species